GAUGAACGCUGGCGGCGUGCCUAAUACAUGCAAGUCGAGCGAACAGACGAGGAGCUUGCUCCUCUGACGUUAGCGGCGGACGGGUGAGUAACACGUGGAUAACCUACCUAUAAGACUGGGAUAACUUCGGGAAACCGGAGCUAAUACCGGAUAAUAUAUUGAACCGCAUGGUUCAAUAGUGAAAGACGGUUUUGCUGUCACUUAUAGAUGGAUCCGCGCCGCAUUAGCUAGUUGGUAAGGUAACGGCUUACCAAGGCAACGAUGCGUAGCCGACCUGAGAGGGUGAUCGGCCACACUGGAGCUGAGACACGGUCCAGACUCCGACGGGAGGCAGCAGUAGGGAAUCUUCCGCAAUGGGCGAAAGCCUGACGGAGCAACGCCGCGUGAGUGAUGAAGGUCGUCGGAUCGUAAAACUCUGUUAUGAGGGAAGAACAAAUGUGUAAGUAACUAUGCACGUCUUGACGGUACCGAAGCAGAAAGCCACGGCUAACUACGU
rnacentral:rRNA from 1 species